rnacentral:rRNA from 1 species
CUCCACGGCUUUGCGUUAGAAACGGCGAGUGAGCGGCAAAAGCUCAAAUUUGAAAGCUAGCACCUUCGGUGUUCGCGUUGUAAUUUGAAGAUAGUUUCCUUAGAGUAGUCCUUUAUCUAUGUUCCUUGGAACAGGACGUCAUAGAGGGUGAGAACCCCGUAUGAUUUUGGAUACUACUCUUUGUGGGAUUCUAUCGAAGAGUCGAGUUGUUUGGGAAUGCAGCUCUAAGUGGGUGGUAAAUUCCAUCUAAAGCUAAAUAUUGGCGAGAGACCGAUAGCGAACAAGUACAGUGAUGGAAAGAUGAAAAGAACUCUGAAGAGAGAGUGAAAAAGUACGUGAAAUUGCUGAAAGGGAAGGGCUUGAGGUCAGACUUGGUGUUUAAUGAUUAUCAGUUCUUCUUGGACUGUGCACUCGUUUUUCACCGGGCCAAUAUCAGUUUUAGCGGUAGAGUACCCCUUGAAAUGUGGCUUCCUUCGGGGAGUGUUAUAGUCUUGGGGAGAUCUACUUGCUGGGACUGAGGACUGCGCUUCGGCAAGGAUAUUGGCGUAAUGACCUUAAGCCGCCCGUCUAACCA